rnacentral:tRNA from 1 species
GGGGUUAUAGUUAAAAAAUAACAAUUAAUUUGCAAUUAAAAAUUAUCUAAAAUGAUUUUCCUCA